GAUUAACGCUGGCGGCGUGCAUAACACAUGCAAGUCGAACGAUGAAACUUUUUUGAUUUCUUCGGAAUGAAAAAAAGUGGAUUAGUGGCGGACGGGUGAGUAACGCGUGAGUAACCUGCCUUAGAGAAGGGGAUAGCCUUUGGAAACGAAGAAUAAUACCCUAUGAAACCAUAACCUCGCAUGAGGCCUUGGUCAAAGAUUUAUCGCUCUAAGAUGGACUUGCGUCUGAUUAGUUAGUUGGUGGGGUAACGGCCCACCAAGACAGCGAUCAGUAGCCGGCUUGAGAGAGUGUACGGCCACAUUGGGACUGAGACACGGCCCAGACUCCUACGGGAGGCAGCAGUGGGGAAUUUUGCACAAUGGGGGAAACCCUGAUGCAGCGACGCCGCGUGAUUUAGAAGGCCUUCGGGUUGUAAAAAUCUUUUCUAUGGGAAGAAAAUGACAGUACCAUAGGAAUAAGGACCGGCUAAUUACGUGCCAGCAGCCGCGGUAAUACGUAAGGUCCGAGCGUUGUCCGGAAUCAUUGGGCGUAAAGGGUACGUAGGCGGGUAAGCAAGUUAGAAGUGAAAUCCUAUAGCUCAACUAUAGUAAGCUUUUAAAACUGCUCAUCUUGAGGUAUGGAAGGGAAAGUGGAAUUCCUAGUGUAGCGGUGAAAUGCGCAGAUAUUAGGAGGAAUACCGGUGGCGAAGGCGACUUUCUGGCCAUAACCUGACGCUGAGGUACGAAAGCGUGGGUAGCAAACAGG
rnacentral:rRNA from 1 species